GCGGAUGUGGCGGAAUUGGCAGACGCACCAGACUUAGGAUCUGGCGCCUUCGGCGUGCAGGUUCGACUCCUGUCAUCCGCACCA
rnacentral:tRNA from 2 species